AUAUCUCUCUGUACGGGAAGGAUGAGAAGCUUCGACUAAGGUUCGAUUCGAGCGAAAGCGAGAAAGCGUUGCCAACGGCAACGA
rnacentral:sRNA from 1 species